rnacentral:rRNA from 1 species
GUGUCAGCCGCCGCGGUAAUACGAAGGGGGCUAGCGUUGCUCGGAAUCACUGGGCGUAAAGGGUGCGUAGGCGGGUCUUUAAGUCAGGGGUGAAAUCCUGGAGCUCAACUCCAGAACUGCCUUUGAUACUGAAGAUCUUGAGUUCGGGAGAGGUGAGUGGAACUGCGAGUGUAGAGGUGAAAUUCGUAGAUAUUCGCAAGAACACCAGUGGCGAAGGCGGCUCACUGGCCCGAUACUGACGCUGAGGCACGAAAGCGUGGGGAGCAAACAGGAUUAGAAACCCCCGUAGUCC